rnacentral:rRNA from 1 species
AUUGAACGCUGGCGGCAUGCCUUACACAUACAAGUCGAACGGUUACAGGUCUUCGGAUGCUGACGAGUGGCGAACGGGUGAGUAAUACAUCGGAACGUGCCUAGUAGUGGGGGAUAACUACUCGAAAGAGUGGCUAAUACCGCAUGAGAUCUACGGAUGAAAGCAGGGGAUCGCAAGACCUUGUGCUACUAGAGCGGCCGAUGGCAGAUUAGGUAGUUGGUGGGAUAAAAGCUUACCAAGCCGACGAUCUGUAGCUGGUCUGAGAGGACGAUCAGCCACACUGGGACUGAGACACGGCCCAGACUCCUACGGGAGGCAGCAGUGGGGAAUUUUGGACAAUGGGCGCAAGCCUGAUCCAGCAAUGCCGCGUGCAGGAUGAAGGCCUUCGGGUUGUAAACUGCUUUUGUACGGAACGAAAAGCCCUGGGUUAAUACCCUGGGGUCAUGACGGUACCGUAAGAAUAAGCACCGGCUAACUACGUGCCAGCCGCCGCGGUGA